ACAAGACAGCACUGUAUUUCUAUUUUUUACGGGUCCGUAGUAGGAUAGCUAGUUUUUUUUUGUGAUUGAAGGAUUGCUGGUGGCCCGGAGGCCUUUCCAGAUUCACCAGGACAGGCCUCUAGGUCAUCAGUAAUCCUUCAAUCAUAAAAAAAAAGUUGGGCUGUGACUUAAUUUACACAUCCAACUCAAUUUGUACAAGUUUUUAGAUUGAAUAAAUAUAAAAAAAGUGAUUGUGACGGGCAAAGUAGAAGGAAAGAGACCCCGCGGCCGAUUACCUAGCCGUUGGUGUGAUCAAGUAACCGCUCUAACUGGGUUGCCAGUCGCAACCGCCAUUCGAGCAGCUGAGGACCAGACGAGAUGGAAACAGCUCACGAGACAGGCAACGGUCAAGUUUCAGGGACACGACCUUCAGCAAUGAAGAAAGCGACGAAGAAGAAGAAGAAGUAUAAUUGUUUUAAACUGUCACUUCUAGUGCGUUACAAACACUAUUAUUUAACGAAUUUUUACCAAUUUCGUUAUUUCGACACUGUACCAAGCAUUGUGACCGCGAGUAGUCAUAAAAAUAAAUACAAACUAAUAAUAGUGUGUAUUUAAUUGCAAAUGAAGCCGUAUUUGUAUGAAUAAUUUUAAUAUCACAUUUAUAUAUCAACAAUAUCAAUUCACUUAUUACUCAACUGUUUAAUUAAUUAAAUUUACUCUCAAAAUUAAUUAGUAAGAAUAUUAAUUA